AGCACCUGGUAUGUAGGAAGACCAUUGAAAACUGACAAGUUUGCAGCUGAGGUGAAGGAGAAAAGAGGUCAGGAAGACUGCCAAGUGUCUGUGUGUGGAGGUCACACGUCUGACAUCCUCAGGUGUGGUAUCAGAGGGCGAAGAAUUGGAAACUCAUGGAGGACUGCUAAAAACAACAAUACGGAAACCUACUAAUGCCUCUCCAUCCAAGAAAGCAAGGUCUGAGCAGCAACCAAGACAGAAAACAGACGAAUAUUCACAGAAACAUGCUGCUAUUGAGCUACGAUUACUCUUAAAUCACUUCAGAGUGGUUUUGUCAAUUAGUGAGUUAUGAAAUGUUCUUUGACUCCAUCAAAACACUUUGGCAUAAGUGUUGACAAUUGUACAAAAUAGAUUAAAUAAGUGAAAGGUGACUUCA